ACAAACUAAAAAAUCUCUAUUGACGACCUAAUUAAAUAGAAAGGAUAAUUAAAUAAAUAAAAUUAUACAACGAAUACUAAAGAUUCCUUUUGAACCUUCAAAUUGCUAUUUCAACGAGUUGUUAUUUAUCAAUAAAAAUUAAAUGCUUCCUAACAAAUUUGACAUUUUACAUUGAAUUGACCCCUUCACCUUCAAUCUCGACGAUUGACUAAAAAAUGGGUUAUUAUGAUUUCGAGCAAGC
rnacentral:lncRNA from 1 species